GACGUACGAUAACACUGAGCGCUCUAUCGGCCAACAGGGAACAACCAACGGCGAACUCUUGUUACAAUCACGCCACCAUGCCGCUCCACGUUAAGCGAAAAUCGCCAAAGUGUAUAAAAUAACGUGCCGGUGCUUCGUUCGGGCAAAACGCAAUUUUUUUGUAAAUCCAAACUUCAGUGAGUUGACGCGAUUUAAAUUAUUUAUUUUUUAUAUUUUUCUUCGUCUACUUGCAGUUUUCACGUCUUCGCCUCUCGAAAAACCCAACAAAAACCAAAAAUGGGCGCUGAAAAAGUAACCAUGAGCAUCGUCGUCGUCGGACAAGUCCAAUCUGCCAAGGCCGCCAAAUCGGUUGCCAAAGCCACCCCAGCCACCAGCCAAUUGUUGAAUUGUUAAUACAUGAUGUCCACAUCAAUCUCAAAUUCAAAAAUGCCAUAGCCCAAAUAUUACAUAAUAUUAUAAUUUGUUCCUAAUUAUAAAAAUGUGUAUUGACAUUGCAAAAUAAAUCAGUCUCUUCCGUCAAU